GUAAUAAACAAACUCUGGACAAAGCAAUUUCGCUGCUACGUGCAACCUACAACCGGCGACAAGUUCAAACCUUUUAGUACCCCCCUCGACCAGUAUAAAUAGACGACCAUGUCCUCCAGACACAGUCAGUCGCGCGAAUCACUGUCGGUAUCGAGUCAUCGAGUCAGUCAGUCAGUCAGUCGAGCGAAUCAGUAUAACAAUUAGUAUCAGUACCGCAAUAUCGCGCAAACUCACAACGAAUAUCAUCAAGCGAGUUGCGAUUAAUUUUGUAUUCUACAUUUUAAAAUAUCUGUAAAUAUAGUUAAUUGAAUUAACUCGUCUCCUUAUUGCUUUAACCAACAACACGUCUCACCGUCCACCACAAUCUGAAUAGUCCUGUUUGCGUACCGCAGACACGUUAUUUAAAUAAUAACAAUUGAAAUAAUUCUUCGAUGACGUCUGCUCGACAGUGUUCAAUUUACAUAGCAACAAAUCAGAUUCGCAUAGAGGAGGAGCAUCAGAAAUAGGAAUAGAAAAUCAGAAGUAGAUCUCAAUGAGAAAUCGAAGACGCAAUUGGCGAG